rnacentral:lncRNA from 1 species
GUUUUUGUGUCAAGCUGUACAAUUCUCCAGGAAAACCAAGGCGGGCCUGGGCAGCAUGCCCAGGGCUCAGUGUCUGUGCACAGUGGCUGUCCUCCUUCCUCCCAUUGCCUGGGGGGGUGGCGUCAGAGCUCUGAGCACUACCUCGCCCUGCUUAACCAGGUGAUGACAGCAAGCCCCGCCUGCAGCCUGCAUCUUCUUCUCCAUCUAUGUGUUCUCACCAUUAAGUCAACAAGUUAGUGAUCCCAAAGCAUCUUCAAGUAUCCACUUUUUUUUUCUCCUUGAAAUAAAAAGAAUUCUUGGGAGUUGAAAUAAAUAGAGCAUCAGAGUGCGGGUGACUCUUCGUGGAGAGCAGUGUCUUACCGUGUGCAGGGCCUGUGCAGCUCGGACUGGUGGUGUUGUUUUAUAAAAACUGUGGAGCAGAUCCAGCAGGAAGUUACCUGCAGAAUCUGAGUGGUGUGCAGGUGUUCACUGGGCAGUUUCUGUGUCUGUCUUUGAAACUUUUAAGAUAAAAUGUUGGAAAAACCUCUAUUAUAGAUUGCAAAGGAUCUGAUUCUCAACUUCAAAUAGCUUUAUUCUCUCGAACCCUCUCUUUAAAGAUUUCAAUGAAAUUUGACUUUACUAAGAAUCAAAGUUUUUAAGUCCUCUUAGGGAUUAUAACUAAGUAAAGGAACCCAGCUAAGAGUUUUCAAGCACAAAUGUUUAACCACCCCCUCCCCCGCCCCCUUUUUUU